rnacentral:misc_RNA from 1 species
GAUGAAGAACGUAGCGAAAUGCGAUACGUAAUGUGAAUUGCAGAAUUCAGUGAAUCAUCGAAUCUUUGAACGCAUAUUGCGCUCUCUGGUAUUCCGGAGAGCAUGCUUGUUUGAGUAUCAGUAAACACCUCAACUUCCAUAUCUUCUUUGAAAUGGGAGUUGGACUUGAGUGAUCCCAACGCUUUUCCUCACCGAAAAGUGGCGGGUUACUUGAAAUGCAGGUGCAGCUGGACUUUUCUCUGAGCUAUAAGCAUAUCUAUUUAGUCUGCCUAAAAAACAGAUUAUUACCUUUGCUGCAGCUAACAUAAAGGAGAUUAGUUCUUGUGCUGACUGAUGCAGGAUUCACAGAGACAGCUUCGGCUGGCCUUUGUAAACUCGAUCUCAAAUCAAGUAAGACUACCCGCUGAACUUAAGCAUAUCAAUAAGCGGAGGA